rnacentral:rRNA from 1 species
AACGAACGCUGGCGGCAUGCCUAACACAUGCAAGUCGAACGAGACCUUCGGGUCUAGUGGCGCACGGGUGCGUAACGCGUGGGAACCUGCCCUUAGGUUCGGAAUAACUCCCCGAAAGGGGUGCUAAUACCGGAUAAUUUCUUCGGACCAAAGAUUUAUCGCCUUUGGAUGGGCCCGCGUUGGAUUAGCUAGUUGGUAGGGUAAAAGCCUACCAAGGCGACGAUCCAUAGCUGGUCUGAGAGGAUGAUCAGCCACACUGGGACUGAGACACGGCCGAGACUCCUACGGGAGGCAGCAGUGGGGAAUAUUGGACAAUGGGCGAAAGCCUGAUCCAGCAAGGCCGCGUGAGUGAUGAAGGCCUUAGGGUUGUAAAGCUCUUUUACCCGGGAUGAUAAUGACAGUACCGGGAGAAUAAGCUCCGGCUAACUCCGUG